rnacentral:lncRNA from 1 species
GACACGCCGCAACCAACUCAACUGGGAAAAAGAAAGAAGCUCCAACUGGGGCACAAACACUCCGCCAAGGAACUGAAUCAACACAAAUGUCUAGGGAUACCCGAAGAGUUAACUGCUUAGGGAACCUCAGAUGCUUCGCAUUUAAGAACUUGCUUCUUACUGAAAUGCUGUUGAUAUUCUUUUUACUUGCUUUGGAAAAG